GAUGAACGCUGGCGGCGUGCUUAACACAUGCAAGUCGAACGGAAAGGCCAGUGCUUGCUCUGGUACUCGAGUGGCGAACGGGUGAGUAACACGUGGGUGAUCUGCCCUGCACUUCGGGAUAAGCCUGGGAAACUGGGUCUAAUACCGGAUAGGACAAUGGUUUGGAUGCCGUUGUGGAAAGUUUUUUCGGUGUGGGAUGAGCUCGCGGCCUAUCAGCUUGUUGGUGGGGUAAUGGCCUACCAAGGCGUCGACGGGUAGCCGGCCUGAGAGGGUGUACGGCCACAUUGGGACUGAGCUACGGGCCAGAGUCCUACGGGAGGCAGCAGUGGGGAAUAUUGCACAAUGGGCGCAAGCCUGAUGCAGCGACGCCGCGUGGGGGAUGACGGCCUUCGGGUUGUAAACUCCUUUCGCUAGGGACGAAGCGUAUUUGUGACGGUACCUGGAGAAGAAGCACCGGCUAACUACGUG
rnacentral:rRNA from 1 species